CCUACGGGUGGCAGCAGUAGGGAAUAUUGCUCAAUGGGGGAAACCCUGAAGCAGCAACGCAGCGUGGAGGAUGAAGGUUUUCGGAUUGGAAACCCCUUUUGAUAGAGAAGAGAAUGACGGUAUCUAACGAAUAAGCACCGGCUAACUCCGUGCCAGCAGCCGCGGUAAUACGGAGGGUGCAAGCGUUACACGGAAUGACUGGGCGUAAAGGGCGCGUAGGCGGGAUCGCAAGUCAGAUGUGAAAUCCUGUGGCUUAACCAUAGAACUGCAUUUGAAACUGUUAUUCUAGAGUAUGGGAGAGGUAGGUGGAAUUCUUGGUGUAGGGGUGAAAUCCGUAGAGAUCAAGAGGAAUACUCAUUGCGAAGGCGGCCUGCUGGAACGUAACUGACGCUGAUGCGCGAAAGCGUGGGGAGCAAACAGGAUUAGAUACCCUAGUAGUC
rnacentral:rRNA from 1 species